UCCGGUUUGUCACCGGCGGUCUCCUUAGAGUUCCCAACUUAAUGAUGGCAACUAAGGACAAGGGUUGCGCUCGUUGCGGGACUUAACCCAACAUCUCACGACACGAGCUGACGACAGCCAUGCAGCACCUGUCUCACGGUUCCUUGCGGCACACCCAAAUCUCUUCGGGCUUCCGUGGAUGUCAAGACCAGGUAAGGUUCUUCGCGUUGCAUCGAAUUAAACCACAUACUCCACCGCUUGUGCGGGCCCCCGUCAAUUCCUUUGAGUUUCAGUCUUGCGACCGUACUCCCCAGGCGGCGAACUUAACGCGUUAGCUUCGACACUGAGAGCCUAAUUGCUCCCAACGUCCAGUUCGCAUCGUUUAGGGCGUGGACUAC
rnacentral:misc_RNA from 1 species